AUUGAACGCUGGCGGCAUGCCUUACACAUGCAAGUCGAACGGCAGCACGGGAGCAAUCCUGGUGGCGAGUGGCGAACGGGUGAGUAAUAUAUCGGAACGUGCCCAGUCGUGGGGGAUAACGUAGCGAAAGCUACGCUAAUACCGCAUACGAUCUAUGGAUGAAAGCGGGGGAUCGCAAGACCUCGCCCGAUUGGAGUGGCCGAUAUCAGAUUAGGUAGUUGGUGGGGUAAAGGCCUACCAAGCCGACGAUCUGUAGCUGGUCUGAGAGGACGACCAGCCACACUGGAACUGAGACACGGUCCAGACUCCUACGGGAGGCAGCAGUGGGGAAUUUUGGACAAUGGGCGCAAGCCUGAUCCAGCAAUGCCGCGUGCAGGAUGAAGGCCUUCGGGUUGUAAACUGCUUUUGUACGGAGCGAAAAGGCUCUCUCUAAUACAGGGGGCUCAUGACGGUACCGUAAGAAUAGGCACCGGCUAACUACGUGCCAGCAGCCGCCGUAAAAC
rnacentral:rRNA from 1 species